rnacentral:rRNA from 1 species
UACGUAGGGCGCAAGCGUUGUCCGGAAUUACUGGGCGUAAAGGGCGCGUAGGCGGCCUUCUAAGUCGAACGUGAAAUCCCCGGGCUCAACCCGGGAACUGCGUCCGAUACUGGAAGGCUUGAAUCCGGGAGAGGGAUGCGGAAUUCCAGGUGUAGCGGUGAAAUGCGUAGAUAUCUGGAGGAACACCGGUGGCCGAAGGCGGCAUCCUGGACCGGUA